rnacentral:rRNA from 1 species
AUUGAACGCUAGCGGGAUGCCUUACACAUGCAAGUCGAACGAGUGGCGAACGGGUGAGUAAUGUCUGGGACACUGCCCGAUGGAGGGGGAUAACUACUGGAAACGGUAGCUAAUACCGCAUACCAUCGGAUGUGCCCCGAUGGGAUUAGCUAGUAGGUGGGGUAACGGCUCACCUAGGCGACGAUCCCUAGCUGGUCUGAGAGGAUGACCAGCCACACUGGAACUGAGACACGGUCCAGACUCCUACGGGAGGCAGAAGUGGGGAAUAUUGCACAAUGGGCGCAAGCCUGAUGCAGCUCUGCCGCGUGUAGGAACAAGGCCUUCGGGUUGUAAAGUACUUUCAGCGAGGAGGCGUGACUCGAAGAAGAAGCACCGGCUAACUCCGUGCCAGCAGCCGCGGUAACAC